rnacentral:rRNA from 1 species
GACGAGGUGCACAAACGUUAUUCGGAAUUACUGGGCUUAAAGCGUGCGUAGGCGGCUUAGCAAGUCGGGUGUGAAAGCCCUCGGCUCAACCGAGGAAUUGCGCCCGAAACUGCUGAGCUAGAGUGAGACAGAGGUGAGCGGAACUGAUGGUGGAGCGGUGAAAUGCGUUGAUAUCAUCAGGAACACCGGUGGCGAAGGCGGCUCACUGGGUCUCUACUGACGCUGAGGUACGAAAGCCAGGGUAGCGAACGGGAUUAGAAACCCCAGUAGUCC